rnacentral:rRNA from 1 species
CUUGUCGCAUGGGAAACCUGGAAACACCGCAACGCCGCCCUCUUUGAUGGACAUCGGCCUUCUAACGCGGAGCUAUUGCGGGUGAUCAAGGACGAGGUGAAGCUUUGGUCCUGUGCGGGUGCCAACGUAUACUGA